rnacentral:lncRNA from 1 species
GGAAGCUGGACUUGUGAGGAUGGAAGGGAUCUGAGAAGACCGGAAGAACAAUGGUGAAGUAAAGUAGAAAAAGUGAGAACACUGGGUGGUCCAGUCUGAUGGAGAUUCAUCUGGAUGCAAAAUGUGAAGACAAGCCUUCAGUUCCCUUCUUGACCACCAGCAUGGAACUAAACAAUUAAACCUGUCAGAAAAAAAAAAGCUGCUGUAUUUUAAGUGCAAGAAACAAAGUCAUGCUAGAAUGUACAGGGUAACAGAGACAUGGACUUUUUAAGGUAACAGAGACAUGGACUUGAGAAGACAACUUGGCUCAAUUCCUAGCUCUGCAACUUACUUACUAGGUUUGUGUCUUUGGGACUGCAUCCUAACAAACAACUGUGUCAAGACAUUUGAACAGCAUAUUCUACACAAAUAAAAAGGAAAUGAUAAAGAUAAAAGAAAUUAAUAGAAUGGAAAGUGAUGGAGAUAAACAAGUGAAAAGAUGGUCCUUUGAAAAGACUAAAACAUGGCCAAUGCACUGGCAAGAAUGAUUGGGACAAUAAACAAAAUAUAUAUGCCAGGGCAGCUCCCGGCGAGAUCGACGCAAAAGGGAACCGACCUUUGAUCAUCCGCACGUGAGACUGCUCCCAGAAAGGGGGAACAAUGUUAAUUACCCACAGACUACGUUGGAUCCAGGCUUUCGGCAUUAUGUCUGUACUAAAUAAAAGCAAGCGCUGCAGCUUAUUAAAACUGCUCACUCUUUGGCAGUCCCCUAGCUGCUCUUACACUGCACCAGGGUCUGCGGGACGGACCUGGCAGCUGGUGCCCUGUGUGAGGAUCACUGCAACGGAUCGUGACAGAACCCUCAAAAAUGAAGG